rnacentral:rRNA from 1 species
CCCUUAGAUGUUCUGGGCCGCACGCGCGCUACACUGAUGCAUUCAACAAGCCUAGCCUUGACCGAGAGGUCCGGGUAACCUUUGAAACUGCAUCGUGAUGGGGCUAGAUUAUUGCAAUUAUUAAUCUUCAACGAGGAAUGCCUAGUAAGCGUGAUUCAUCAAAUCGCGUUGAUUACGUCCCUGCCCUUUGUACACACCGCCCGUCGCUCCUACCGAUUGAAUGUGUUGGUGAGGAGCUCGGAUUGGCAGCAGUUGGUGGUUCGCCACCGGCUAUUGCUGAGAAGUCCUCCAAACCGCCCCAUUUAGAGGAAGGAGAAGUCGUAACA